CCGGAUUUAUUGGGUUUAAAGGGUGCGUAGGUGGGCUUAUAAGUCAGCGGUGAAAUCCCCCGGCUCAACCAGGGAAUUGCCGUUGAUACUGUUAGCCUUGAGUACAGUUGAAGUGGGCGGAAUGUAGCAUGUAGCGGUGAAAUGCAUAGAUAUGCUACAGAACACCAAUAGCGAAGGCAGCUCACUAAGUUGUAACUGACACUAAUGCACGAAAGCGUGGGGAUCAAACAGGAUUAGAUACCCUGGUAGUCCACGCUGUAAACGAUGAUCACUCGUUGUUGGCGAUAUACAGUCAGCGACUGAACGAAAGUAUUAAGUGAUCCACCUGGGGAGUACGAUCGCAAGGUUGAAACUCAAAGGAAUUGACGGGGGCCCGCACAAGCGGUGGAGCAUGUGGUUUAAUUCGAUGAUACGCGAGGAACCUUACC
rnacentral:rRNA from 1 species